rnacentral:rRNA from 1 species
CCGUUGACGGGACAGUGUCAGUCGGGCAGUUUGACUGGGGCGGUCGCCUCCCAAAGAGUAACGGAGGCGCCCAAAGAUACCCUCAGCUUGGAUGGAAACCAAGCGCAGAGUGCAAAGGCAAAAGGGUGUUUGACUGCGAGACCCACAAGUCGAGCAGGGACGAAAGUCGGGCUUAGUGAUCCGGCGGUGCUGAAUGGAAAGGCCGUCGCUCAACGGAUAAAAGCUACCCUGGGGAUAACAGGCUGAUCUCCCCCAAGAGUUCACAUCGACGGGGAGGUUUGGCACCUCGAUGUCGGCUCAUCGCAUCCUGGAGCUGAAGUCGGUUCCAAGGGUUGGGCUGUUCGCCCAUUAAAGCGGUACGCGAGCUGGGUUCAGAACGUCGUGAGACAGUUCGGUCCCUAUCUGUCGUGGGCGCAGGAAAUUUGAGAAGAGCUGUCCUCAGUACGAGAGGACCGGGAUGGACGCAUCAAUGGUGGACCAGUUGUCACGCCAGUGGCAUAGCUGGGUAGCUAAAUGCGGAAGGGAUAAACGCUGAAGGCAUCUAAGUGUGAAACCCACUUCAAGAUGAGAUUUCCCAUUGCGCAAGCAAGUAAGACCCCUUAAAGACGAUAAGGUAGAUAGGUCAGGAGUGUAAGCAUGGUGACAUGUUAAGCGGACUGAUACUAAUAGGUCGAGGGCUUGACCGAAA